GACGAACGCUGGCGGCGUGCUUAACACAUGCAAGUCGAACGCUGAAGCUUGGUGCUUGCACUGGGUGGAUGAGUGGCGAACGGGUGAGUAAUACGUGAGUAACCUGCCCUUGACUCUGGGAUAAGCCUGGGAAACUGGGUCUAAUACUGGAUACGACAUGUCACCGCAUGGUGGUGUGUGGAAAGGGUUUUACUGGUUUUGGAUGGGCUCACGGCCUAUCAGCUUGUUGGUGGGGUAUUGGCUCACCAAGGCGACGACGGGUAGCCGGCCUGAGAGGGUGACCGGCCACACUGGGACUGAGACACGGCCCAGACUCCUACGGGAGGCAGCAGUGGGGAAUAUUGCACAAUGGGCGGAAGCCUGAUGCAGCGACGCCGCGUGAGGGAUGACGGCCUUCGGGUUGUAAACCUCUUUCAGCACGGAAGAAGCGAAAGUGACGGUACGUGCAGAAGAAGCGCCGGCUAACUACGUG
rnacentral:rRNA from 1 species